GCCACACUGGGACUGAGACACGGCCCAGACUCCUACGGGAGGCAGCAGUGGGGAAUAUUGCACAAUGGGCGCAAGCCUGAUGCAGCGACGCCGCGUGAGGGAUGACGGCCUUCGGGUUGUAAACCUCUUUCAGUAGGGAAGAAGCGAAAGUGACGGUACCUGCAGAAGAAGCGCCGGCUAACUACGUGCCAGCAGCCGCGGUAAUACGUAGGGCGCAAGCGUUAUCCGGAAUUAUUGGGCGUAAAGAGCUCGUAGGCGGUUUGUCGCGUCUGCCGUGAAAGUCCGGGGCUCAACUCCGGAUCUGCGGUGGGUACGGGCAGACUAGAGUGAUGUAGGGGAGACUGGAAUUCCUGGUGUAGCGGUGAAAUGCGCAGAUAUCAGGAGGAACACCGAUGGCGAAGGCAGGUCUCUGGGCAUUAACUGACGCUGAGGAGCGAAAGCAUGGGGAGCGAACAGGAUUAGAUACCCUGGUAGUCC
rnacentral:rRNA from 8 species